AUGUCCCUAAAAUCCAAGUUCCUCUCUGGCCUAACCAAACAGUCUCGGGAGCAUGAGGAUGAGCACAAUGACAUUUUUUAUCUCUUCACUCCUUCCUCCCAUCCCAGUGAUCCCAUAACUAACUCGCACCUAACACACACACACACACACACACACACACACACACACACACCAAAAACUCUAGAUUAUCCUAGGACCGCAGCAAACACGACAGAGUUCACACCAGCUUGUAUCCUUUAUGUUGUAUAUAUACUAGAAGAUGAGGCUGCAGCUCACAGGAAAUUGUGGAAGUUUUCUCUGUUACUCAGUGUUAUUUAUUUCCUCAGUUUAUCAAUUUAUCUUCAGUCAUAUCCAGUGUCUUCAGUUUAUCAAUUUUUCUUCAGUCAUAUUCAGUGUUAUUUGUUCAGUCAUAUGUCAUAUUCAGUGUAA
rnacentral:rRNA from 1 species